GACGAACGCUGGCGGCGCGCCUAACACAUGCAAGUCGAACGGAGCAUUGAAGCUUGCUUUGAUGCUUAGUGGCGAACGGGUGAGUAACACGUGAGCAAUCUGCCUUCGAGUGGGGGACAACAGUUGGAAACGACUGCUAAUACCGCAUAAGACCACGCUCCCGCAUGGGAGAGCGGUCAAAGGAUUUAUUCGCUUGAAGAUGAGCUCGCGUCCGAUUAGAUAGUUGGUGAGGUAACGGCCCACCAAGUCGACGAUCGGUAGCCGGACUGAGAGGUUGAACGGCCACAUUGGGACUGAGAUACGGCCCAGACUCCUACGGGAGGCAGCAGUGGGGAAUAUUGGGCAAUGGGGGAAACCCUGACCCAGCAACGCCGCGUGAAGGAAGAAGGGCCCUUCGGGUUGGUAAAC
rnacentral:rRNA from 1 species